rnacentral:rRNA from 1 species
AUCCCGAGUUUGAAACUCAUCAACCUGUGAACAUACCUAAACGUUGCUUCGGCGGGAACAGACGGCCCCGUAACACGGGCCGCCCCCGCCAGAGGACCCCCUAACUCUGUAUCUAUAAUGUUGUUUUUUCUGAGUAAACAAGCAAAUAAAUUAAAACUUUCAACAACGGAUCUCUUGGCUCUGGCAUCGAUGAAGAACGCAGCGAAAUGCGAUAAGUAAUGUGAAUUGCAGAAUUCAGUGAAUCAUCGAAUCUUUGAACGCACAUUGCGCCCGCCAGUAUUCUGGCGGGCAUGCCUGUUCGAGCGUCAUUACAACCCUCAGGCCCCCGGGCCUGGCGUUGGGGAUCGGCGGAGCCCUCUGUGGCAUACGCCGUCCCCCAAAUACAGUGGCGGUCCCGCCGCAGCUUCCAUUGCGUAGUAGCUAACACCUCGCAACUGGAGAGCGGCGCGGCCACGCCGUAAAACACCCAACUUCUGAACGUUGACCUCAAAUCAGGUAGGAAUA